rnacentral:rRNA from 1 species
AAAAACAUCGCUCCCUGUUUCAAACACCAUAGGGAGUCGGACCUGCCCAGUGACAUAACAUGUUAAACGGCUGCGGCUCAUACCGCAUUAAAGUAGCAUAAUAAUUUGCCUUUUAAUUGGAGGCUAGUAUGAAUGGUCUGACGAGAGCUCCGCUGUCUCUUUUUAAAUAUUUAGAAAUUAACCUAUAAGUGAAGAGGCUUAAAUUCUAUUGAGGGACGAAAAGACCCUAUUGAGCUUUAGUGAUAUCUCAGAAAACUUUUUACUCAUGCCUAUGCAUGAUCACCUUAAUUGUUAUACCUGCGAAUAAUCUUUAGCUGGGACGGCUAAGGAGCACCAAAAACCUCCUUAUACAUAAUAUAAAACUGUCAUGUAAAAGAUCCAGUACUUACUGAUCAAUGGAAAAAGUUACCAUAGGGAUAACAGCGUAAUCCCCUCAAAGAGCUCGUAUCAAAGAGGGGGUUUGCGACCUCGAUGUUGGACUAAGAUACCCCAAGGGUGCAGAAGCUCUUGAUGGUCGGUCUGUUCGACCGUUAAAAUCUUACGUGAUCU